rnacentral:lncRNA from 1 species
CUCAGUUGACCACGUGGAGAUUCGAUUCGCGAGGUAAACAGAUUGGCGUCGUCUGUGGAAAAAUUCUAUCCAAGAGUUCGCCAUUUACCAUUGGAAAAAGCCACCGAAAAACCAUUGACUUACUUUGAAAAAGGGACAUUCUUGAAAAAGGACUAAGUCAACCUACAGUCUGAAAGUUCUACACACCCUUGAGAAAAGGAGUGAAGAAAAUGAGUUAUAGCAAUGAGGAUGCAAAUCCCGAACUCAGGAGCGUCUGAAGAAGAGGUGCUCCGAACAAAUGUCACGCAUCGAGACCCUAUCACCGACGUCGUCGAGGUGAUAGAACAACAGCACUCAUUGAAGGAAUGACUCAGAUAGUCGCACCAUGAGGGACAUUGAGGCUCAGAAUAUAGCAAUGUGCGAGUUCUUCAUGCAAGCCCAGGGUCGUAGGGCUUCCCAAUGCCACAAGGACUACACCCAGCUCAAGGACAAAACCCGCAUCUCAUGCCCGAGGUCAUUCAAGCCACCACAGAGAACACCCUAUUGAGAGAGAAGUGGGAAUGGAUGUCACUUCCUAUACCCAAGGCACUCACGUGGCAAAACCACAAUUAGGAGAAAACUUCCUACCAAAAUAUGAGCCUCAGUGGUCGGUUAGUGUCUUUGACCGGAUAGGAUGAAAUCCUAGCAAUAGGGUCGCUCCAUACAAAGGUCAACCCAGCAUGAGCAGGAGCAGGAGCAGAAGCAGGAACAGGAGCAGGAACAAGAAGCACCUCCUCCGCCUAGAAAUAGGCAAGAGAUGAUAAAUCUAGUGGAUUGGGACAAUCGAGGAGGGGCACCUUCACCUCCUCAGAAUGUGCUAGAAGGGGAAGGUUUUGAUGGGCCAUGUCGCUAUGAAAUCGACGACGACGAUGAUAAUCUCCCAUUCUUGAGAAAAAUCUGAAGCUUCCGAAUGCCCACAAGCUCCAUGCCCCCUAAAAUCCCAAAGUAUGAGGAAAAGAGGUGCCCACAGUAGCACCUCACCAAGUACAUGAUACAGAUGAGCCUCAGAAGAGCCUAGCCGACACUAAAAUGCAGGGCCUUCAAUCUGACACUUAUCGGAGCUGCCGAGGUAUGGUACAGCAAACUACGACCCCUGAGCAUUAGAAGUUGGCCGAAUUUGAAGAAGGCUUUCCUUAACCAGUACCUUUCACGAAAGUAAGGAAAAACCCAGUGCAAUGCCUACAAGACAUGAGGCAAGCCCCUGGAGAGACACUAAAAAGCCAUCUCGCCAGAUUUACUGAUGAAAUCACUUACAGUAAACAAGUCAUCGACGGAGAGGCCCUUUCAGCCUUAAAGGGAAGUUACAAUAUGAACACUUUGUUCUGGAG